ACUGUUAGAGAUUUAUUCUCUUUUAAAAUACCUAGCCGAGUGCUAUGGUUGUGUGAGGAGGAUUGCUUGAUCCCAGGAGUUCCGGGCUGCUGUGCACUGGGCCGAUUGAGUGUCUGCAUCAAGUUCAGCAUCAGUAUGGUGACCUCCAGGUUGCCUGAGGACGGGUGAACCAGUCUAGGAUGGAAAUGGAGCAGGUCAAAACUCCUAUGCUGAUAGUGGUGGGAUUGCACCUGUGAAUAGCCACUGUAUUCCAGCCUGGGCAGCAAUGAGACCCUGUUUCUU
ensembl:misc_RNA Metazoa_SRP Metazoan signal recognition particle RNA